rnacentral:rRNA from 1 species
UUUCUUCGGAACUGAAGAUUUGGUGAUUGAGUGGCGGACGGGUGAGUAACGCGUGGGUAACCUACCCUGUACAGGGGGAUAACAGUCAGAAAUGACUGCUAAUACCGCAUAAGACCACAGCACCGCAUGGUGCAGGGGUAAAAACUCCGGUGGUACAGGAUGGACCCGCGUCUGAUUAGCUGGUUGGUGAGGUAACGGCUCACCAAGGCGACGAUCAGUAGCCGGCUUGAGAGAGUGAACGGCCACAUUGGGACUGAGACACGGCCCAAACUCCUACGGGAGGCAGCAGUGGGGAAUAUUGCACAAUGGGGGGAACCCUGAUGCAGCGACGCCGCGUGAGUGAAGAAGUAUCUCGGUAUGUAAAGCUCUAUCAGCAGGGAAGAAAAUGACGGUACCUGACUAAGAAGCCCCGGCUAACUACGUGCCAGCAGCCGCGGUAAUACGUAGGGGGCAAGCGUUAUCCGGAAUUACUGGGUGUAAAGGGUGCGUAGGUGGUAUGGCAAGUCAGAAGUGAAAACCCAGGGCUUAACUCUGGGACUGCUUUUGAAACUGUCAGACUGGAGUGCAGGAGAGGUAAGCGGAAUUCCUAGUGUAGCGGUGAAAUGCGUAGAUAUUAGGAGGAACAUCAGUGGGGAAGGCGGCUUACUGGA